AAGAAAAGAAUUAUACAAUAUAUUUAAAUAAAAGUACUUAAAAAUAAAAACACAAAAAAUUUCAAGUACAGAAAUGGAUGCCAUAUUCCCCUAAAGUAAAAUUUAAAAUCUGUACCUUGUGCAUAAUGGUUUUACAAUUCUAAAAUUUAAAAUAUGCCCCGAAUUCUAAGAGAGCUGCUUUAGAUAUUGUUCAGAACCCACUAUUAUCUGUGUCAUAAGAUUUAAAAAAUAUUAAAGCAGGGGCUACAUACCACUCGCGCUAGAAAAUUGCUGGUCUCUAGUAAAACUUAUAAAUUAAUUCAUAUAAUAAAUUAUACUGUAAAACUACAGAGGAUAAGCCCUGUAGUUUCAUACCAUUAAAAUUCCCCUUUACCUAUAAGCUUAAAAACAGCUAUCAAAAAUACGUAAAAGUAAAAUAAUAUAAUUCGAAAUGUUAAAACUUAACUAGAAUAAAGUAAAACUAUAUAUACCAAUCUUAAAAUGUAAAAAUAAGUAUUUAUAGAUAUUUUAUAUAUUGAAGCACUAAAUUGCCAAUAUUUAAAAUACAAUUAUUAAUAAAGGAACUCGGCAAAUACUAAGUU
rnacentral:rRNA from 1 species